UACGUAGGCAGCGAGCGUUGUUCGGAAUUACUGGGCGUAAAGAGUGUGUAGGCGGUGUUCCAAGUCUGGUGUGAAAUCUCCCGGCUCAACUGGGAGGGUGCGCCGGAAACUGGAGUGCUUGAGCGUGGGAGAGGAAAGCGGAAUUCCUGGCGUAGCGGUGAAAUGCGUAGAUAUCAGGAGGAACACCUGUGGUGUAGACGGCUUUCUGGACCAUAGCUGACGCUGAGACACGAAAGCGUGGGUAGCAAACAGG
rnacentral:rRNA from 1 species